ACAUUAAAAAAAUUUAAAAAACCCAUAAAUUAAAAAAAAAGCAUAAGUGCUAAAAUAAGUGUGGCAUUUUAACUUGGAAAAGACUGAUAUUUGCUUGUGGAAGCAGGUAUUAGAAAGGCUGCAGCUUGGGAGUUACUGUGAAGGGGUGGAAGAUAGGUUCCUUGGAAUCUGAUGGACAGUCGUCACAUCAGAUGAGGAUGGUCUGGCCGCUAACACAACGUAAACUGAGGUAGCUGUAGGUGUCUGAGGUGUGCACCUGUGUGCACUUAGUGUAUUUCCUGCACCACUCAGUCCAAUCAGGUGCAGUUUUCUGUGUUAGUCUGGUGUUUCUCACAGACAAAAGUGGCAUAAGCAGCAGGGAAGUCUUGCUGUGCUCCAAUUGUUCCUUAUAUUACCAAUUGCAUUAGAGCAAAUUUGCAUUUUCAAAACAAGCAUUCUCGUAGAAGUGACUGUUCUAGUUGAAGCGCAUUAUCUGUAUGAACUCAUGUAAUCAUCCCAUCACCCUUUUGGCUUGAUACUAUUAUUGUUCCCAUUUUAUUGAUGAGGAAACUGAGGCAAAGAGAGGUUAGAUAAUUUGAUCACGAUCAAACUUACUAAGCGACAAAGCCAUUAUACUAUACUAUACCAUACUGUCUCACAACAUUAAAUAAUAAUGCAUUUAAUGAGAGAAGUGUUUCCAUCAGACUUUUGGAGAGGACCACUUUAAAUAAUUCUGACUAUCUGGUAAUCACUGUGUCUCACCUAAAUCUCUCAUGUUGUAAUUUUAGUCAAUUUUUCUGUUAUCUCCUUUGUCAAGGUGCAGACUAUCAAGUUAGAAUGUUGUAUGUUACUGCCCCUUAGGUAAUUAACGCCCAGUUAAAAGCACAGUCCAUCUUGUUUAGUGCUUAGCAUGUACUCAGCACCAAGCUACAUUUUCUCUUCCAUCACUGGUAAUUCUGCUAAAAGUAAUAGUCAGUGAAGGCUAAUCAAUGGGGUUCCAAUUAUAAUGUAAACAUGCUGUGCUCCAUUAGCAUUAGAAAUGUUUACUGUUUUGUGUAUUUCAUCAGUGUCCCUGGUUCCUCCUCAUUACACAAACUCUUUAUGAAAUAGAAAUAUUUAAUAUAGAACAUCUUGAAUGCCUUCUGUUUUCGAAGAGUAGUAUUUUAGGUUGCUAAGUAGGCACUUAAUUCAUAUCCCAUCGAGAGCUGGUUGUAAACAUGAAAGGAUGAAUAACUAAUGACACUCUGAAUGGGCUUUUUGCUACAGUAGUGGCUAAAACUUGUCUGAGUGAAAAGUGGGAGAGGGUUACGGUAUAAGCUUUGGCUGUAGAGCUGGUUGGACUUGAUUCAGAUUUUAAUUCUUCCAUUUGUUAGCUGUGUGAUCAUGGAUAAAGCACUUAAUUCUCUGAGUUUCUGUUUCUUCAUCUAUAAAAAAAACCUUUUGUCAUAUUAGAAUUAAUGAGCUAAAUCACAUGGCACACUUAAUACAUAAUAGAUGAUUAGUAAAUCGCCAGCUAAGUAGAGAGGACUCUGCCAUCCACCAAGAGACAUCAAAUCCUGGGGCUGUUAGUCUGAGUUUGCGCAGAGGCAGGAUGCAAUAGGGCUGGAGUGUGCAUUUCAGUUGGUGUUUGAUUCUUUCCUUUUUCCUUUCUUUUUUCUUUUUUGGAGAGCAGGGGGAGAGGGAGAGGGAGAAAGAGAAUCCCGAGCAGGCUCCACCCUGGCACGGAGCCCGACGCGGAUCGAUCUCACAACUGUGAGGUCGUGACCUGAGCCGAAAUCAAGAGUUGGACCCUUAACGCACUGAGCCACCCAGGUGCCUUGGUGUCUGAUUCCUAACUGUUCCUACAGCCCACAUUCUCCUGGUGGUGGUGAUGGAGCACAUUAGCUGACUUCACCAACUCUAAAGGCAGUAAAUUUGGCAGCUCAGAGCACGGGUUCGAGAGACAGACCUCAGGUCAGCCACCACCUCUGUCUGUGGCCAUAGACAAGUCUGAGCCUUUGGUUUUCUCACCUGCAAAUGAAGCGAUAUUAUUGGAGCUCGUCCGAGAAUGAAAGGAAACAUUGGGAAGUGCUUUGCAUAGUAUCUGCUACACAGGGCAUUUCCUUUAUGAAGCCCCUAUUGACGCACCUGCCACCAAGUAAACUUGAUCACUCCCUGUUUUUGUGGCCCCGCUGCUCCCUGAAAGCUUCUACCAUGGUUAACAACGUCUUCACUGACAAAACGAAAAUCAGACAAACUAAACCCAAGAAGUGUCUUACUCCAGUCACAAUCCCACUGAAGCAUACUUUUUCUGAGUAAUCUAGAUUGGUCUUGGCAGGUCACGGAAGAUACUUAAUGGAAAAGUGGGUCCACAAAGAGCACUUCGUGAUUUGGUUCCACUAGCUGCGGCAUUUGAUUAACAUGUGAACAUACCUCUAGCAAGAAACGUUAAGGAAAAUGUCGGCAUUGUUAAAAGGUAUUCAACAAUGGAAAGAGAAAGGGAAUGUUCCUUUUAGAAGAACUUCGGUGAAAAUGGUUAAUACUUUGCGUCGUGAUGCUAUGAUUUAGGAACCAGCUACUCAAACUGCUAACAGACAUUUUGGUGCGCGCACAGAGCAUAUAAAAACACAUUUUGCUUACGGAUCAAUUCUGAAUUUAUGUAUGUACACUUUCUAAAAAUAUGGAGUUAACCUGCUCAGGGAUUAUUAGCUUGGGCUUUUAAAAUGCAAUGAAACAGGGGGCCGAAGGCAGGAACUCAUUGGGAAUCACGUGUAAGGUAACAAUGGGACCUCUACGGAGCAGGAAAGUUCCUGUUACGCAAUGUGUGCAUUUCAUUAUUUACAUGAUUUCACGAGG